AAAAGUAAUAAAAACACAUUAGGAAUAAUUUAAUAGUUGUAGUAGUAUGUGCAUUGUACGUCAAUACAGUCAAUAGACUCGAGGUUGCAAAGAUGUAUAGUAUUGCUCCGGGAAAUUGAUUUAUAUAUUAAUGAGACAUUAUUUACGGCGUCAUUGUUAUUAAAAGAAAGAAAGAGGCAAACAUCAACAUUUGCAAAGCAGUUUCCAUGACCCUCUACUUUCAAACCUCCUCAUCAAAGCCAUACUCUGUACAAUAAACGUUUCGAAGCCUAUAGGUCAUGGUGUUGUGAGAUCAUACCGACGUCGUAUUGUAUUAAGUCAAAACGAACUAUCGGGGUCAAUCUCCUGGAUCUCCUUCGAAGCCGCCGUCAUAAAUCCUUUGUUUAUAUUCAUUCUCCUCGCCAUCGCUGCAAACUGCCAUCAUAUUGAAUUUAACAAUGCAUUUAUUGGCUAAGGUUUACCUCUCAUUAUCUACUAUUAGGUCAUACUUAAUUUGAGACUCUGAUAGUUUUUUCCCAAUAAAAGGCUCCACUCUCUUCUUAAGUAAAGUGAAAUGUGCUUAAAUGGGCUUCCAUUCUCCUAGAAAGUGGCUAAUUAUUUUUUUAUUGUUUCCCCACAUCCCGAACACUUGAACAUAUUUCCUUCCUGUGUUCCUAGGUUUCCAACAUUGAACGAUCCUGAUGCAAUUUGACAUCUGUUUCGAAGUUAAAUACUUGUCAUAGAUUCCAUAGCAGAAAUUUAUCAGCUUGCCUGUCUCAAUUCCAGUUCUUUUUAAAAGAUGCAAAAAAUUCGUCUCACAUCCUCUUCCCUCCAAAAUUUUAACCCUCAUUGAUUGGUUAGAAUAAUUUGUGGCUUUAUUCCUUACUUCAUUUUUAUAUCUGGAGUUUAUUUGCAACUUCAGUAGUGCUAUGGCUGGAUCUGUUAGAUCUGUUAUAUUGCUUGAUGCCAUUAAUUCCUCGACGGUCCUUAUUCCUUUUCUACUUAACGUUUCAAUGUUCAUCUUACUGAUAGAUAAGUAAAUUAUAUCUGUAUUCUUGAACGGAGAUAUCGGCACCUAUUUAUUAUUAAUUAUGUUCUUCAUUGCUUCUGCCCAUCGAGGAUGGUCGUAAUGUUUAUCGUAUAUUAUUUCCCUCUACAAGACCCCAUCAUUUUUGGCGGUUUUUCCUGCAUUUCCAAGGUAUUUAAAACUGUUUUCUUCAGCAUAGUUGCCAUAAAUGUAGAUUUGUUCAAUUUUGUUUUCAGUCCACUUAGACAUCUAAACUCCUCUAAUAUGCUUACAAAGUUGUUAAUAUUUUUUUCUAUGUUAUUUUCGUCAAAUAGAAAACACUUAAAUAUUUUUUCCCACUUAUGUUCUUAACAUCUAGUAUGUCCUUAGUUGUAGUGGUCUUAUUGCCAAGUUAAAUAGUACUGGGAUUAGGGGAUAUCCUUAUUCUUGUCGGCAUCCUCUUCCGACAUUUAUAAUUACUCCUCCCCCGGGGGCAAUUUCUCUUUUUGAUCCUUUUAUUAUAGAUGUCAUCAGAUUUAUAUAUCAUAGAGGUAUAUUUAAAGCAUGGGGCUGAUGAAUUAUAUGCUCGUGCGAUAUUGUAUCGAAUGCUUUUGUAAAAUCAAUAAAAACUUUAGCCAUC
rnacentral:lncRNA from 1 species